rfam:Erwinia tracheiphila strain BuffGH Etrach_2, whole genome shotgun sequence.
AGUAUUUGGUAUCUGCGCUCCACUAAAGCCAGUUACCUUCGGAUUUUAGAGUUGGUAGCUCUGAAACCCGGCAAACGAACCACCGUUGGUAGCGGUGGUUUUUUUGU